AUGGCGGCCAAGAUCAAGACGGUGGUGGUGGUGGUGCAAGAGAACCGCUCCUUCGACCACAUGCUGGGCUGGAUGAAAUCCCUCAACCCGGACAUCGACGGCGUCACCGGCGCCGAGACUAACCGCGUCGUCGUUGCCGACCCCCGCUCCAAAGCCAUCCCCUUCGGCGACGGCUCCCAGUACGUGGACCCGGACCCCGGCCACUCCAUCCAGGCCAUCUACGAGCAGGUCUAUGGCACGCCCUUCGUCGACGCCCAGGCCACGCCCAUCACCCCGCCCAGCGUCCCCACGCCGCCCAUGAGCGGUUUCGCGCAGCAGGCCGAGCAGGAGAAGCCGGGCAUGGCGGAGACCGUCAUGAGCGGGUUCAGGCCGGACGCCGUGCCGGUGUACCGCGAGCUGGCGCGGGAGUUCGCCGUGUGCGACCGCUGGUUCGCGUCCAACCCGGCGUCCACCCAGCCCAACCGCCUCUUCGUGCACUCGGCCACCUCGCACGGCCUCGUCAGCAACAACACCAAGGCGCUCGUCGCCGGCCUGCCGCAGACCACCAUCUUCGACUCCCUCCACGACGCCGGCUACUCCUUCGGGAUCUACUACCAGUACCCGCCAUCCGUGCUCUUCUACCGCAACCUCCGGCAGCUCAAGUACAUCGGCAACUUUCACCCGUUCGACCUCGAGUUCCGGCGCCACUGCCGGGAGGGGAAGCUGCCAAACUAUGUCGUCGUGGAGCAGCGCUACUUUGACCUCAAGAUCCUCCCCGGCAACGACGACCACCCGUCGCAUGACGUUUCCGAGGGCCAGAGGUUCGUCAAGGAGGUGUACGAGGCGCUGCGCUCGGGCCCGCAGUGGGAAGAGACGCUCCUUGUCGUCACCUACGACGAGCACGGCGGGUUCUAUGACCACGUGCCCACCCCCGUGGGCGUCCCCAGCCCCGACGACAUCGUCAGCGACGCACCCUUCUUCUUCAACUUCGACCGCCUCGGCGUCCGCGUCCCGGCCUUCUUCAUCUCCCCCUGGAUCGAGCCUGGGACGGUGGUGCACAGGCCGUCAGGGCCGCACCCGACAUCGGAGUUCGAGCACUCGUCCAUCCCGGCCACCGUGAAAAAGAUCUUCAACCUCGAGAGCUUCCUGACCAAGCGCGACGCAUGGGCCGGCACGUUCGACGUCGUCCUUACGCGUGACACCCCGCGCACCGAUUGCCCUGCCACGCUGCCUGAGCCGGUGAAGAUGCGGCCAACAGAGGCAGCGGAGCACACGACGAUCUCGGACUUCCAGGCGGAGCUGGUGCAGCUGGGCGCGGCGCUCAACGGCGACCACGCCAAGGACACAUACCCACACAAGCUGGUGGAGGGCAUGACGGUGGCGGACGCCGCAAGGUACUGCAACGGCGCCUUCAAGGCCUUCCAGGACGAGUGCGAGCGCUGCAAGAAGUGCGGCAAGGAUGGGUCCCACAUCCCCACCAUGCCGCCGUCGCCGUUGCCGCCGUCCAAGAAGAGGGGUGGCUUCGCUUCCAAGAUGCUGGCUUGCUUUGCGUGUGGCCAUUCCUAG
rnacentral:rRNA from 1 species